rnacentral:rRNA from 1 species
CCUACGGGAGGCAGCAGUAGGGAAUAUUCGGCAAUGGGGGGAACCCUGACCGAGCAACGCCGCGUGCAGGAAGAAGGAAUUCGGUCUGUAAACUUCUGUUAUAAAGGAAGAAAAACUGAAGGAGGAAAUGAAGUCCGAGUGACGGUACGUUGUGAGAAAGCCACGGCUAACUACGUGCCAGCAGCCGCGGUAAUACGUAGGUGGAAAGCGUUAUCCGGAAUUAUUGGGCGUAAAGAGGGAGUAGGCGGUAGAAAAGGUCUGGGGUGAAAGACCGAAGCUUAACUGCGGUAAGCCUUAGAAACCGGGCAGCUAGAGUGCAGGAGAGGAACGCGGAAUGCCAUGUGUAGCGGUGAAAUGCGUAGAGAUAUGGAAGAACACCAAUGGCGAAGGCAGCGAACUGGCCUGCAACUGACGCUGAGGCACGAAAGCGUGGGGAGCAAACAGGAUUAGAUACCCUGGUAGUC